UGUCAACCCAAGUUUAGGCAGAUGAACAGCUCACAACCCAGAGCCUCCAAGUAUAAAUAAACUCUUCCACAUUCAGCUUAGAGCACCAAAAUUAGGCUUAUGCACCAGCUCUGCCUCAAAAGGCAUCAGUCCCUCAGUGCUGACCUCUUCUACAACUCGUCACCUCUGACCUUGGACAGCCAGUUUAGCUGUCUCAAGUCACGUAGGCUGUUACCUCCACCCCCUCAGCCAAAGUCACUCACAAACAGAUGGUCAGAGCAAUAUUUUACAACAAGAUAUAGAUGUAAUACCUAGAAAAAGGAAAUAAGCUGUCUUUAGGCACUGUAUUCUUGGUCUCUAAGCACACACACUAAAAAUAGAAAAAACAACCACAAAAGCAAAAGCCUGAAGAAAUGGAAAGCAGACUCAUUCCAAAACUUUGUUCAAAAGCCCACACAGUAAAUCCUGAGCUCAAAACAAUAGGGCUUGAAGUUUAACUUUUGUUACACAGGAAGAAGACACUCUAAGAUAAAGAGCUAGUAAUUGAAAAGGUCAUAGAGACACUGACCACUGAUAUAUACAAGAAGCUGCAUCAUAAAGCAGUUCUGCCUCUGCUCUCUCUUGCCUAGGAUGAGCAAGAGACAGAUCAGCAGGACAUCUCAGGAAAUGUUAUACAAACCUCACAGCACACACAAAGCACAUCCAGUCAGAUUCUGAAGGCCCACAGAAGACACCAAGCUGCUGUUCUGAACAGAAUAUAAACCCUGUGGAGAUGAUCUGUCUGCUCUAACCUCUCUGUUAAUGGCAUCAUGGGACAGAGCACAGACUCAGCAAGCUGCAGCUGAUCCAAAACUGGGAGAAGGAGUUGACGCAGCACAGAGUUGCAUCAUCACUGAGAGGGACCUCAAGAGGCUGUAGAAAUGGGCCAACUUGGGGGACUCAUGAAGUUAACAGAGAGGCUUUUCCACACACCGAUAAGAUCCCACCCGAGCCUCCUCUUCUCCAGGCCUAUCAGUCCCAGCAGUCUCUGCCUUUCUUCAUGGACCAUACAACAGACACAUAGUUUGUGUUGGAAUGGACCUUUCAAGACCAUCAAGUCUAACCCACUGCAGGAAGCAGGAACAUCUUCACAAUUAGAUCUGGUUGCUCAGAGCCCAGUUCUUGACCUGACCUUGAACACUGUCAGGGAUGGAAUAUUCAUCACCUCUCUGGGCAACCUGUUCCAAUCUCUUAUCAUCACUAUAAAAAAAAAAUUCUGUAUAUGUCCAUCAAGACUUAACUCCACCCUUGGAGACAAAGAGUCUGAUAAUCCUGGGCAGCCUGCUCUAGUUGAUCAUACCUGGAGCAGUUGCACUAGAUCCCUUCCAACCUCAAGUACUGUACAGUUCUAAGAUUAAAUGGGUGUACAAGCCACAUGAGAAUGUAACUUUAAUUACUUUUCAUUACAGAAAACAAAGUUGAAGA